UACAGAGGUGGCAAGCGUUGUUCGGAAUUACUGGGCGUAAAGGGCGCGUAGGCGGCUCGCUAAGUCAGACGUGAAAUCCCCCGGCUUAACCUGGGAACUGCGUCUGAUACUGGCAAGCUCGAGUGCGGGAGAGGGAUGUGGAAUUCCAGGUGUAGCGGUGAAAUGCGUAGAUAUCUGGAGGAACACCGAUGGCGAAGGCAGGUCUCUGGGCCACUACUGACGCUGAGAAGCGAAAGCAUGGGGAGCGAACAGG
rnacentral:rRNA from 1 species